UCGAGGGGCAGCAGGGUUGUAGCAAUACAAUCGCUGGCGACCGGCAAACGGGUGCGGAACACGUACGCAACCUUCCUUCAAAUGGGGGAUAGCCCACCGAAAGGUGGAUUAAUACCCCGUAACAUUUUCUGGUGGCAUCACUGGAUUAUUAUAGCUCCGGCGUUUGAAGAUGGGCGUGCGCCUGAUUAGGUAGUUGGCGGAGUAACAGCCCACCAAGCCUACGAUCAGUAACUGGUGUGAGAGCACGACCAGUCACACGGGCACUGAGACACGGGCCCGACUCCUACGGGAGGCAGCAGUAAGGAAUAUUGGUCAAUGGACGCAAGUCUGAACCAGCCAUGCCGCGUGGAGGAUGAAGGUCCUCUGGAUUGUAAACUUCUUUUAUCGGAGAAGAAACCCAUACUAUCUAGUGUGGUUGACGGUACCCGAUGAAUAAGCACCGGCUAACUCCGUGCCAGCAGCCGCGGUAAUACGGAGGGUGCAAGCGUUAUCCGGAUUCACUGGGUUUAAAGGGAGCGUAGGUGGGAUGGUAAGUCAGUGGUGAAAUCUCCGGGCUUAACUCGGAAACUGCCGUUGAUACUAUCAUUCUUGAAUAUUGUGGAGGUAAGCGGAAUAUGUCAUGUAGCGGUGAAAUGCUUAGAUAUGACAUAGAACAACGAUAGCGA
rnacentral:rRNA from 1 species